rnacentral:rRNA from 1 species
AUUGAACGCUGGCGGCAUGCCUUACACAUGCAAGUCGAACGGCAGCACGGGAGCAAUCCUGGUGGCGAGUGGCGAACGGGUGAGUAAUAUAUCGGAACGUGCCCAGUCGUGGGGGAUAACGCAGCGAAAGCUGUGCUAAUACCGCAUACGGUCUAUGGAUGAAAGCGGGGGAUCGCAAGACCUCGCGCGAUUGGAGCGGCCGAUAUCAGAUUAGGUAGUUGGUGGGGUAAAGGCUCACCAAGCCGACGAUCUGUAGCUGGUCUGAGAGGACGACCAGCCACACUGGAACUGAGACACGGUCCAGACUCCUACGGGAGGCAGCAGUGGGGAAUUUUGGACAAUGGGCGCAAGCCUGAUCCAGCAAUGCCGCGUGCAGGAUGAAGGCCUUCGGGUUGUAAACUGCUUUUGUACGGAGCGAAAAGGCUCUCUCUAAUACAGGGGGCUCAUGACGGUACCGUAAGAAUAAACACCGGCUAACUACGUGCCAGCAGCCGCAGUAAAAC